AUCGUUUCUCUGCCUUUUGGCUAAGAUCAUGUGUAGUAUCUGUUCUUAUCAGUUUAACAUCUGAUACAUCCUCUAUCCAAGGACAUUAUAUUAAAUGGAUUUUUUGGAGCUGGAAGAUGGAAUAGGAGCUUGACCUACCCACUCCAUGCAUUGACCUGGUACUACAGUACUUCUGGUAACAGUGCAACAAAA